rnacentral:rRNA from 1 species
UACGUAGGGUGCAAGCGUUGUCCGGAAUUAUUGGGCGUAAAGAGCUCGUAGGCGGUUUGUUGCGUCGGCUGUGAAAUCCCGAGGCUCAACCUCGGGUCUGCAGUCGAUACGAGCAAACUAGAGUGUUGCAGGGGAGACUGGAAUUCCUGGUGUAGCGGUGAAAUGCGCAGAUAUCAGGAGGAACACCGGUGGCGAAGGCGGGUCUCUGGGCAACAACUGACGCUGAGGAAGCGA